rnacentral:rRNA from 1 species
AUUGAACGCUGGCGGCAUGCCUUACACAUGCAAGUCGAACGGUAACGCGGGGCAACCUGGCGACGAGUGGCGAACGGGUGAGUAAUGCAUCGGAACGUGCCUGGUAGUGGGGGAUAACUGCUCGAAAGAGCAGCUAAUACCGCAUACGACCUGAGGGUGAAAGGGGGGGAUCGCAAGACCUCUCGCUAUCAGAGCGGCCGAUGUCGGGUUAGCUAGUUGGUGGGGUAAAGGCCCACCAAGGCGACGAUCUGUAGCGGGUCUGAGAGGAUGAUCCGGCAGACUGGGACUGAGACACUGCCCAGACUCCUACGGGAGGCAGCAGUGGGGAAUAUUGGACAAUGGGCGGAAGCCUGAUCCAGCCAUGCCGCGUGUGUGAAGAAGGCCUUUUGGUUGUAAAGCACUUUAAGCGAGGAGGAGGCUCUUAAGGUUAAUACCCUUGAUGAGUGGACGUUACUCGCAGAAUAAGCACCGGCUAACUCUGUGCCAGCCGCCGCAGUAAGAC